UAAUAAAAGUGCUUUAUGGCACUUUUCAAACAAAUCCAUAUCCACCUUGUGUGCAAUGUUUUUUUUUUUUUAAAUAAACACUUUAUUUUUUAAUUGCCAAUUUAUCUGAAGAUCAGUAUUAUUAUGAAUUAACUUAAUUCAAAAUA
rnacentral:misc_RNA from 1 species